UACGGAGGGUGCAAGCGUUAAUCGGAAUUCCUGGGCGUAAAGGGCGCGUUGGCGGUCAGCACAAGUCAGUUGUGAAAUCUCCGGGCUUAACUCGGAAAGGUCAACUGAUACUGUGCGACUAGAGUGCGGAAGGGGCAACUGGAAUUCUCGGUGUAGCGGUGAAAUGCGUAGAUAUCGAGAGGAACACCUGCGGCGAAGGCGGGUUGCUGGGCCGACACUGACGCUGAUGCGCGAAAGCCAGGGGAGCGAACGGG
rnacentral:rRNA from 1 species